AUGUUCAAAUGUGUCCAUCCAUACUGCUAUCUAGAUUGCACCACACAAUACACACUCUCUCCCUUCCUUACCCUCUGCCCUUUCUCCCCUCCCAUCUGCUGUACUGUGGCUGGACACCCAGGGGGAUGCUUUCGUAUCAGACGUAACCAGUCAACCACAUCCUCUGCAAGAGCUCUCUGCAUAUAUACACUAGACUCGCUACGCUUGUUUCGCUGCUCCCACACAGCAACCAGGAGCUCUUUAGGUAAGACCCAACUUUCAUUAGCCGGCCGCAGUCUAGCCUGAAAUUAUUUCAACAAGCAAGGCGAACUGCCCGUGACACCUGAUCAAUCACUAGGCAAGGUGUGUUAUUGAGAGAAAAUACUGGGGACAGCUGGGGAAAAGAACACACAAAAAUGCAUCAAAACACACCAUUCCACCAGUUGCGAACAAGUUCCUUAAAGAGUGUGUGUGUUGUACGUGGAUGUGUGAUUGUGUGUGUGUGUGUAGUUGGGAGUGCAGAAUCAAUUUCACACGAGUGCAUCAAGGAGACAUGAGGCUGAGGCAGACAUAUUGAGCUGUCUAUCAGCCUCUCUGUUUUGAGCCCCAUCUGCAGGAACUUAAUGCACUAUUAUGUCAACAGUGACUGAGGGGCCAACUAUGUAAGACCUGUCUGGGUGAUAGCCAUUAGCAGGAAACCAGGCAUUAGGAAAGUCACUAACCAUGCCUCUGCAGAUGACAUCACCUCAGCUGAUAACGAGAGCUGAGCUGUCCUCAGGGAGACAGCAGUAUACUUUUACUAUAAGAGAGGUUGCAUAGAUGCCAUGGACAUAGCACAUUUAGGACUGAGAAAUGUGGAACUUUGUACCUUAUCAGUGGAAAGCUAUCCAAAGUUUGUAUAGGACCCUAAAGACCCUCAGCACUCAAGGCUAAUGCACUAGGAAACACCCAGAGAGAAUUGCAUAGUCACUAUACACGUUCCUCCCGAUCUCUCAAACAACGUGUGGUCUCUGAUGGACUCAUAGUUGCAUUCUACACCAAUGUAACAAAUUAUGAUAUGGGGAAUAACCCUUCCUCUGACCUCAUGAUGGUCAAUAACAGGUGCCGUACAUGAAAGGCCCAUGAAAACCCUCAAUCAGGCCCCCACAUAUGCAAAGAAAUUAACAUCCCUGAACUCAGAGGAAAUGUUCCCAAAACAAAGGGUUUCACCAGAUUCCUACAAUAUAUUCCUUUGUGAGUUAUCAAUAUUCUUAUCUCAUGUUUAAUGAAUACAUUAAUACACUGUUCCAGAAACAGACUACGUAAAAUAAAAAACACAUUAUUUAAUAGUUGAACAUUCAACCAAAGACUCCCGAGAAUGUUGUUGGAGGGAAUGUACUCAGAAUAUUGAACUAAUAGGUUUUAGAGGAACCUUAUCCCCUGGAAAUGUUGUUUGUAGGGUACUGAGCAAAGUAGGCCAGCAUGUAUGGUAACCUCAUUCUACGCUUAUUAACAAAGCUUGGUCGAGGUUCGCUGUGCAGGCUUGGUAGAUUUGAGUGGACAAAAUGGAUCUACAUCUGAUACCAGAACAAAUGACAACAUACCCAGAUAUCUAGUGGUGUUUAUCAGUAAGGGAGAAAAUACACCCCAAAUCUGCUUGUCAAUGCAUCUCUGUUCUUCUUGACACCUUGUGACUUGUAGUGUGUCCGACUCACCCUCAGUGAUAGUGACUCCUAAUCCUUUGUCAUUGUAGCAACGCCUGCUAAGACUAGAGGGAUCUAUUAGCCUUUUUCGCUAAGAUCCGUAAUUACUGUAUUUUGCGUCAGUGACCGUACUUACUAACAUUAAAACUAACCAAUCCAUCAAAUCGUUACUGUAUUGCAUAUUGGAUAUGGCCACUCAGGGUAUGGCCUAGUUGUGAUUUGUUUGAUUCAGACAUAUUUGGAAUGGUUGUGUUACCAUGCGCAGUCUCAGAAGCCCUCUAGAAAAUGAAACAAACAGAUGUUCUGAGAUUAGUAUUCCUAGGUGUAAUUAUUUAAGGCUCUUGUCCAGCAUGUUUGGUUUCCUUGUCAUGUCAUCUUUCGUUUCUCCAAAGCUCUGGUAGAAUUCAAGAGAACCCAUUGUUGUUAUCCCGUCACUAUACAGUGUGUAGAAAAUGAUUCCCAAGAUC
ensembl:lncRNA